UGUCUCCCCAUGCUUACCACAGGCAGCUUAGCUACGAACGCUGACUGUAUAGAAGUGGGAGAUACAGAAUCCGUGGCCCUGCAGACACCGCAGCCAGGCUGCCUCUCGCCUGGACUGUAUUGUUGGCAAGGGCACAAAA